AUCGUCAGUUACGUCUCUGGUCGAUGAUGUAAUAUAGUUUCAAAAGAACUCCAACUACUGAAGUCGGUUGCCGAACCAAAGGGUAUAAAUUAAAUUAAACGGUACUACUGUUAUUGUUUUAAAUUAAACAAAGCUAGGCUCAUCAUCAUCAUCAUCAUCAUCAUCAUAUCUCUCUCUCUCUUCCAUGGCAACCGGCAAGCUGAUUCAAGUCGACCCGCCCGAACUCAGGUUCCCAUUCGAAUCAAGAAGGCGCAUCCCGUGUUACAUCAUGUUAACCAACAAAACCGAUGACCACGUCGCCUUUAGUCUUUGUUCGGAUGCCGUAGAGGAGUACAUCGCUCAGCCCAACAGAGAGAUCCUCUCGCCCCGAUCCACAUGCAAAGUCGAAGUAAUAAUGCUACCGCGGAGGAAAGCACCACAUCGCCAAGA